rnacentral:rRNA from 1 species
CAGCCGCCGCGGGAAUACGAAGGGGGCUAGCGUUGCUCGGAAUGACUGGGCGUAAAGGGCGCGUAGGCGGAUUGUUUAGUUAGGCGUGAAAUUCCUGGGCUUAACCUGGGGACUGCGCUUAAUACAGGCAGUCUAGAGUGAGGAAGAGGGUUGUGGAAUUCCCAGUGUAGAGGUGAAAUUCGUAGAUAUUGGGAAGAACACCGGUGGCGAAGGCGGCAACCUGGUCCUUGACUGACGCUGAGGCGCGAAAGCGUGGGGAGCAAACAGGAUUAGAUACCCCGGUAGUCCCUGUCUCUUUACC